GACGAACGCUGGCGGCGUGCCUAAUACAUGCAAGUAGAACGCUGAAGGAGGAGCUUGCUUCUCCGGAUGAGUUGCGAACGGGUGAGUAACGCGUAGGUAACCUGCCUGGUAGCGGGGGAUAACUAUUGGAAACGAUAGCUAAUACCGCAUAACAGUAGAUAUCGCAUGAUAUCUGCUUGAAAGGUGCAAUUGCAUCACUACCAGAUGGACCUGCGUUGUAUUAGCUAGUUGGUGAGGUAACGGCUCACCAAGGCGACGAUACAUAGCCGACCUGAGAGGGUGAUCGGCCACACUGGGACUGAGACACGGCCCAGACUCCUACGGGAGGCAGCAGUAGGGAAUCGUCGGCAAUGGACGGAGGUCUGACCGAGCAACGCCGCGUGAGUGAAGAAGGUUUUCGGAUCGUAAAGCUCUGUUGUAAGAGAAGAACGAGUGUGAGAGUGGAAAGUUCACACUGUGACGGUAUCUUACCAGAAAGGGACGGCUAACUACGUG
rnacentral:rRNA from 1 species